UGCGUAGGCGGGCUAAUAAGUCAGUGGUGAAAUCUCUCGGCUCAACCGGGAAACUGCCAUUGAUACUGUUAGUCUUGAGUUCGGUUGAGGUAGGCGGAAUGUGUAAUGUAGCGGUGAAAUGCUUAGAUAUUACACAGAACACCAAUUGCGUAGGCAGCUUACUAGACCGACACUGACGCUAAGGCACGAAAGCGUGGGGAGCGAACAGGAUUAGAUACCCUGGUAGUCC
rnacentral:rRNA from 1 species